GGGGAAUUGUUCGCUAUGGGCGCAAGCCUGACGACGCAACGCCGCGUGGAGGAUGAAGAUCUUCGGGUCGUAAACUCCUGUCGAGCGGGACGAACACCUUCGGGGCUAAUAUCCCCGAGGGCUGACGGUACCGCUAAAGGAAGCCCCGGCUAACUCCGUGCCAGCAGCCGCGGUAAUACGGGGGGGGCAAGCGUUGUUCGGAAUUACUGGGCGUAAAGGGCUCGUAGGCGGCCAACUAAGUCAGACGUGAAAUCCCCAGGCUCAACCUGGGAACUGCGUCUGAUACUGGUUGGCUUGAAUCCGGGAGAGGGAUGCAGAAUUCCAGGUGUAGCGGUGAAAUGCGUAGAUAUCUGGAGGAAUACCGGUGGCGAAGGCGGCAUCCUGGACCGGCAUUGACGCUGAGGAGCGAAAGCCAGGGGAGCAAACGGGAUUAGAUACCCCGGUAGUCCUGGCCCUAAACGAUGAAUGCUUGGUGUAACGGGUAUCGAUCCCUGUUGUGCCGAAGCUAACGCAUUAAGCAUUCCGCCUGGGGAGUACGGUCGCAAGGCUGAAACUCAAAGGAAUUG
rnacentral:rRNA from 1 species